UUUGGACCGACUAGGCAAAUCAGAGUGGAGCUGGUGCAACUGGUCAUCGAUGGAGUAAACUAUUUGAUUGAUUGUGAACGGCGUCUGGAGAGAGGCCAGGAUAUCCGCAUCCCCACACCUGUCAUCCACACCAAGCAUUAACUCCCCAUCGCCAGCUGAUGACUCAAGAUUCCCAGGAGUUCUGCUCAUUCUAAUGAUGGCCCAUUCUACUUGCUCUGGACCUGCCCCCGCAUCCCCUGCCUCCAUCCUAGUAAAGACUCCUUGCUAUGC
rnacentral:lncRNA from 1 species